rnacentral:rRNA from 1 species
AACGAACGCUGGCGGCAUGCCUAACACAUGCAAGUCGAACGAAGCCUUCGGGCUUAGUGGCGCACGGGUGCGUAACGCGUGGGAAUCUGCCCCUUGCUUCGGAAUAACAGUUAGAAAUGACUGCUAAUACCGGAUGAAGUCUUCGGACCAAAGAUUUAUCGGCAAGGGAUGAGCCCGCGUAGGAUUAGGUAGUUGGUGGGGUAAAGGCCUACCAAGCCGACGAUCCUUAGCUGGUCUGAGAGGAUGAUCAGCCACACUGGGACUGAGACACGGCCCAGACUCCUACGGGAGGCAGCAGUGGGUAAUAUUGGACAAUGGACGCAAGUCUGAUCCAGCAAUGCCGCGUGAGUGAUGAAGGCCUUAGGGUUGUAAAGCUCUUUUACCAGGGAUGAUAAUGACAGUACCUGGAGAAUAAGCUCCGGCUAACUCCGUG